rnacentral:tRNA from 1 species
AAGGCUUUAGCUUAAUUAAAGUAUCUGCUUUGCAUGCAGGGGAUGGAGGAUAGAGUCCUUCAAGUCUUA